CGGGACGGGUGAGUAAUGUCUGGGAAACUGCCUGAUGAGGGGGAUAACUACUGGAAACGGUAGCUAAUACCGCAUAACGUCGCAAGACCAAAGAGGGGGACCUUCGGGCCUCUUGCCAUCGGAUGUGCCCAGAUGGGAUUAGCUAGUAGGUGGGGUAACGGCUCACCUAGGCGACGAUCCCUAGCUGGUCUGAGAGGAUGGCCAGCCACACUGGAACUGAGACACGGUCCAG
rnacentral:rRNA from 1 species